AGAGUUUGAUCCUGGCUCAGGAUGAACGCUAGCGGCAGGCUUAACACAUGCAAGUCGAGGGGCAGCGCGGGGUAGCAAUACUCUGGCGGCGACCGGCGGAAGGGUGCGUAACACGUGAGCGACUUGCCCGAUACAGGGAGAUAACCGGUGGAAACGCCGACUAAUAUCCCAUACGACAUGAGGCUGCAUGGCCUUGGGUUGAAAGGUUCGCCGGUAUCGGAUAGGCUCGCGGGACAUUAGCUUGAUGGCGGGGCAACGGCCCACCAUGGCGACGAUGUCUAGGGGUUCUGAGAGGAAGACCCCCCACACUGGGACUGAGACACGGCCCAGACUCCUACGGGAGGCAGCAGUGAGGAAUAUUGGUCAAUGGGCGGAAGCCUGAACCAGCCAUGCCGCGUGAAGGACUAAGGCCCUAUGGGUCGUAAACUUCUUUAGACGCAGAGCAAUAAGGGCCUCGUGAGGUCCGAUGAGAGUAUGCGUAGAAUAAGCAUCGGCUAACUCCGUGCCAGCAGCCGCGGUAAUACGGAGGAUGCGAGCGUUAUCCGGAUUUAUUGGGUUUAAAGGGUGCGUAGGCGGCGAAUUAAGUCAGCGGUGAAAGACCGGGGCUCAACCCUGGAAGUGCCGUUGAUACUGAUUGGCUAGAAUACCCUUGCCGUGGGAGGAAUGAGUGGUGUAGCGGUGAAAUGCAUAGAUAUCACUCAGAACACCGAUUGCGAAGGCAUCUCACGAAGGGGCGAUUGACGCUGAGGCACGAAAGCGUGGGGAUCGAACAGGAUUAGAUACCCUGGUAGUCCACGCAGUAAACGAUGAUGGCUAACUGUCGGGCCUGCGGGUUCGGCGGCCAAGCGAAAGCGAUAAGCCAUCCACCUGGGGAGUACGACCGCAAGGUUGAAACUCAAAGGAAUUGACGGGGGCC
rnacentral:rRNA from 1 species